GACGAACGCUGGCGGCGUGCUUAACACAUGCAAGUCGAACGGUGAAGCGCCUUCCUUUUUGGUGGGUGUGGAUGAGUGGCGAACGGGUGAGUAACACGUGAGUAACCUGCCCCCUUCUUCUGGAUAACCGCAUGAAAGUGUGGCUAAUACGGGAUAUUCUGGGUCUGUCGCAUGAUGGGUCUGGGAAAGAUAUUGUUUCGGUGGGGGAUGGGCUCGCGGCCUAUCAGCUUGUUGGUGGGGUGAUGGCCUACCAAGGCGGUGACGGGUAGCCGGCCUGAGAGGGUGGACGGUCACACGGGGACUGAGACACGGCCCAGACUCCUACGGGAGGCAGCAGUGGGGAAUACUGCACAAUGGGCGCAAGCCUGAUGCAGCGACGCCGCGUGAGGGAUGGAGGCCUGCGGGUUGUGAACCUCUUUCGCCAGUGAAGCAGGCCUGCCUCGUUUGUGGGUGGGUUGACGGUAGCUGGAUAAGAAGCGCCGGCUAACUACGUG
rnacentral:rRNA from 1 species